rnacentral:rRNA from 1 species
UCCCUAGUACGGCGAGUGAAGCGGGAAGAGCUCAAAUUUGAAAUCUGGUAGCCUUCGGUUGCCCGAGUUGUAAUCUAGAGAAGUGUUUUCCGCGUUGGCCCAUGUACAAGUCCCUUGGAACAGGGCGUCAUAGAGGGUGAGAAUCCCGUCCUUGACAUGGACCCCCAAUGCUUUGUGAUACACUUUCAACGAGUCGAGUUGUUUGGGAAUGCAGCUCAAAAUGGGUGGUGAAUUCCAUCUAAAGCUAAAUAUUGGCGAGAGACCGAUAGCGAACAAGUACCGUGAGGGAAAGAUGAAAAGCACUUUGGAAAGAGAGUUAAACAGUACGUGAAAUUGUUGAAAGGGAAACGAUUGAAGUCAGUCAUGCUCUUUGGAUUAAGCCGUUCUGCGGUGUAUUUCAUUGAGCGGGGUCAACAUCAGUUUUGAUCGCUGGAAAAGGGCAGGAGGAAGGUAGCACUCUCGGGUGAACUUAUAGCCUCUUGUCGUAUACAGUGAUUGGGACUGAGGAACGCAGCAUGCCUUUUGGCCGGGAUUCGUCCACGUACAUGCUUAGGAUGUUGACAUAAUGGCUUUAAACGACCCGUCUUGAAACACGGACCA